ensembl:lncRNA
AGCUCCGCAGACGGCUGCCAAGCCGGGGAUCGGGAAGCAUGGUCUUGGGGGGCGGCAGCGGCCGGGGCGGUGCUCGGGCCGCUGUUGUGUGUCUGUGCGCUGGCGCUGUAGGGAGAGCCCCUCGUGGAGCGCAAGAAGCUGAACGACCUGUGGAGCUUCCUCGCCGACUUCUCCGACAACUACGCGGGGGCUUCGAGAAGCAGUGGUACCAGCGGCCGCUGCGGGAGGGCUGGUGAAUUACCAGAUCUCCGUCAAGUGCAGCAACCAGUUCGAGUUGGAAGUGCGUCUUUUGGAUGCAGAAAACAAAGUCGUGGACAACAGGGCCGGGACCCAGGGCCAGCUGAAGGUGCUGGGUGCCAACCUCUGGUGGCCGUACCUGAUGCACGAACGCCCCGCCUACCUGUACUCGUAGGAGAUCCGAGGGAAGGACUUCGACUGUCUGCUGCUGGUGAACGACUUCAACCUGCUUCGCUGGCUUGGUGCCAACACCUUCCACGCCAGCCACUAUCCCUACGCGGAGGAGAUGCUGCAGAUGUGUGACCAGUAUGGGAUUGUGGUCAUCGCUGUUCAACAACGUGUCUAUGCAUCACUACCUGUGGGUGAUGGAGGAACCAGUGCGCAGAGACAAGAAUCACCCCGCCGUGGUGAUGUGGUCUGUGGCCAACGAGCCUGCAUCCUACCUGGAAUCUGCCAGCUAUUACAUCAAGAAAUCCUGCAUGAGCAUAAAACUGAAGUAAAUGGAUUGGAUGGAAUUGGAAUCAAGAGUGACUCCUGGAUUUACAUAACAGGCAUCCCACAACCAUGGCUGGCAGAUGCCAAGGGGAUAUGUGAGAUGGCCCAGCUCCAGGAUGAAACUCAACUUGAGGGAAGCUGGGGAGAGCCUCACAGCACUGGACAAGCCAUCGGAUGGCACUGCCCCCAGGGACACACCCAGGGGCGUGGAUAGGGAUACGGAAGACCUAAGGCAAAGGGUGGCUUCAGACAUGACAGCAGAUCAGCCGCUGGGGAAAUGCCAGAGGGGAUUUGACAGCUGGGCCAGGUGUUCCAGGACAGCACUUUCCAAAAGAUUUUCCAUCCAAACUUCCAGCAAGAAGUAGAUCUUCCAUCGUUACCCAGAGCAUAUCUACUCAUUCAGAUGAAGAAAACAACUCUUUGACAUGCAUUAUCUCCCAACACCAACCUCAAUCCAGCCCUGGAAAGUGAGCAGAGCCAGCAGCAUUUCCAGCCCUACCUCUGGAGGAAGGAGAGGAACCUGAGACUCUUGGGUGACCUGAGGUGUCUCUGGCAGCACCAGCAAAAGAGCCUGGCCCUGGCCGCCCAGCAUAGGUGCUCAGUCCCUCCUGACUGCCACUGCUCCCUCAACACCAAAGCACAGGGUCCUGAGAUGUUGGGAGAGGGUGGGGGAUGCUGGGCUGGGAGAGGGCCUGGGGGCCUGUCAGAAGCCAUGACAUGAUGCACUCACCGCUCGGGAGGAAGCUACUGGCCUUUGAGUGAAAUCGGUAAGUAUGAACUCUGGAGAUGUAUCGUACAACAUGGAGUCUACAGUUAAUAAAUGUAUUGUAUACUG